rnacentral:rRNA from 1 species
AGGACGAACGCUGGCGGCGUGCUUAACACAUGCAAGUCGAGCGGUAAGGCCCUUUCGGGGGUACACGAGCGGCGAACGGGUGAGUAACACGUGAGCAAUCUGCCCUUCACUUCGGGAUAAGCCUCGGAAACGGGGUCUAAUACCGGAUAUGACCGCGCUACGCAUGUGGUGUGGUGGAAAGUUCUGGCGGUGGAGGAUGAGCUCGCGGCCUAUCAGCUUUGGUUGGUGGGGUUAAUGGUCCCUACCGAAGGCUUCGGACGGGUACGCCGGCCUGAGGAGGGUCGACCGGCCACGACUGGGGACUGAGACCACCGGCCCAGACUCCGUACGGGGAGCGAGCGAGGUGGGGAAAUAGUUAGGAACAAGUAGGGGACCGAAAGGACC